rnacentral:rRNA from 1 species
AGUGAACGCUGGCGGCAGGCCUAACACAUGCAAGUCGAACGGCAGCACAGUAAGAACUUGCUCUUACGGGUGGCGAGUGGCGGACGGGUGAGGAAUACAUCGGAAUCUACUUUUUCGUGGGGGAUAACGUAGGGAAACUUACGCUAAUACCGCAUACGACCUACGGGUGAAAGCAGUGGAUCUUCGGACCUUGCGCGAUUGAAUGAGCCGAUGUCGGAUUAGCUAGUUGGCGGGGUAAAGGCCCACCAAGGCGACGAUCCGUAGCUGGUCUGAGAGGAUGAUCAGCCACACUGGAACUGAGACACGGUCCAGACUCCUACGGGAGGCAGCAGUGGGGAAUAUUGGACAAUGGGCGCAAGCCUGAUCCAGCCAUACCGCGUGGGUGAAGAAGGCCUUCGGGUUGUAAAGCCCUUUUGUUGGGAAAGAAAAGCAGCAGGUUAAUACCCCGCUGUUCUGACGGUACCCAAAGAAUAAGCACCGGCUAACUUCGUG